GAUGAACGCUGGCGGCGUGCCUAAUACAUGCGAGUCGAGCGAACGGACGAGAAGCUUGCUUCUCUGAUGUUAGCGGCGGACGGGUGAGUAACACGUGGAUAACCUACCUAUAAGACUGGGAUAAUUUCGGGAAACCGGAGCUAAUACCGGAUAAUAUUUUGAACCGCAUGGUUCAAAAGUGAAAGACGGUCUUGCUGUCACUUAUAGAUGGAUCCGCGCUGCAUUAGCUAGUUGGUAAGGUAACGGCUUACCAAGGCAACGAUGCAUAGCCGACCUGAGAGGGUGAUCGGCCACACUGGAACUGAGACACGGUCCAGACUCCUACGGGAGGCAGCAGUAGGGAAUCUUCCGCAAUGGGCGAAAGCCUGACGGAGCAACGCCGCGUGAGUGAUGAAGGUCUUCGGAUCGUAAAACUCUGUUAUUAGGGAAGAACAUAUGUGUAAGUAACUGUGCACAUCUUGACGGUACCUAAUCAGAAAGCCACGGCUAACUACGUG
rnacentral:rRNA from 1 species